rnacentral:misc_RNA from 1 species
UAUUAAAUUAAAAACUUUUAGAUAGUGAAGUUGAAAUUAGCACACGUGGUCCCUUGGAACAGAAGUGAGGAGCUAAAUCCCAAUCUAUUUGACUCCAGAUCAAACUGCAGCAGAUUAUCCUCCAUCAGAUGCCCACCAAUCACGAUCGACGUUCUUGGAUUUGCCCCACCAUCCACAAAACCCAAGCACCACACAUCCUCACCUUUGUGUGCCACCCUUACCAUGGAAUUGGAUCCAAACAUCCUCCAAUACACUUCUUCACUUUGCAUCACAAGAUCAACGGUCGGCACUUCCGGUCCCACACGGGUGCUCACAAUCUCCUUUGCGGAGAAACAGAAACUGAAUGGCUUGACAGCGUUAGUUAGGGUGAGGUUCAUAGCGGAGGAUUCUUUAACGAAUGCCUCGGUGAAUGCCUUGUAAAUGGAGGUCUGCAGUGUCGUAUAAGGAACAACGGUGCUGAUCUUUGUCCCACCAAAACCAGUCUCGCUGUCAAUGGCCAGGAGUGUCUGAUUUAAGACCACCACCUUCCCGUUGACUUUUAUGGAAGUCAACCCGACGAAGUACUCAUCGGAUGGGUGAUUUGCGUAUGUUAUGACGGUGCCGCCGACUGGGUUCAAAAUCAGGGGAGUGUAAAUCAGCGAUUUUCCAACCUCGAUUCCGGGCAAGAAAUUAUAUGGUCCACUGGUACCAAUAAAAGCCACGCCAAGAAACUUUCGUGAACCAGACAAGCAAAGCGCAAAAUAGUUGGGAGCAGAAAAAACAGUUCUAACUUGCCCCUGGAGCGAGAUAUUCGACCUUCCCAUUGCCACCGUGCCCGAGACCCCUGCAGCCAGGCCGUGAAGAAGAGCAGUACGUGCGCAGGAGAAGAUAUAGUUUUUGACGUGAGCUAGUGGACCCUGAGUUGAUCCAUCGGUGGUGGGCACGGCAAGGGAAUCUAUUAGUGCAGCUUCUAAGUUGACCUUACGAGUCACAGAAUUCUCCGGGAAGAACUCGCAGGUGUCGUUGGCGCAGGCGGGGCCAGGUGGCUCGUAGCAGUUGCCACAAGCGAGGGAGUGGAAGGAAUCGCAGAGAGGGGUACCGCAGGGGAUGUGCUGGUAAGUGGUAGAGUUGUAGUUUCGGUAGCAGUCCACCCAGGUGAAGGAAGCACCAAGAUCGAGAAGUAAUUUGGUGGGCUGGAGAGGGGUCUUUAGGUACACUGUGGUGGUGUAUUGGCUGGUGGUAUGAUCUUUUUGAAUAGGUAGAAGAAACGCUGCAUGGAGAGGAAGAACUAAAGAGGAAAUGAAGGAGAGGAAAAAGAGAAGCGAAUAAAGAGACAUUUUUGAGUUUGAUCUUCAGAGUGUAGAAUGUAGAUGCAUGAGUGUUUAUACAGUAUAUAUAUAUAAGCCGAAGUUGGGGUAGUGGAGAUUCAAAAAAAAUGUGGUUUUGAGUAUAUAUGGGUAAGCUUUCAUGCAGGGGAGUGAAGAUAUGCUGCGUUUCAUAUUCAACAAUAAUCUGUGAGCUGGCUUGUAUCUUCCUUUGGGUGGGGCCAUUGCUCUAUAUUUAUGUAUGGCAUAUGCUUGCUCUAUAUUUAUGUAUGGCAUAUGCUUGCCCUGUCCUCAAUAGAUAAUCUAAAAAUCUCACCUUCAGUCGUCACUACCGAUAUCUUCCUCUUUUGAAAGGAAUGAUCAAAUCGGGUUCCAUGGAAUUAAAUCGAAUAGUUGGAGAUGUACUGUGCAAACCCAGUUCGUCCAUUUACAGGGCAGGCCUUUGGGUUUUGAAUGAAUGCAAG